rnacentral:lncRNA from 1 species
AGAGGAUCGAUGCCUUACAGAUGAACCUCCCACUAAAUUUACUAGCUCCUUCUGGAGCUGGUGAUCCUUCUUAAAAGUCUAUAGUAACCCUAGCAAACCUUAGUAGUUUACUGCAGGCUUCGUCAUUCUAUAAUGAUUGAGAAAAGAUAGGUAGGAUUUUGGUAGUAAAUUGAGGAUAGCAUCCUUGCCUAACUGUUCAUGCAAUAGAAAGCCAAGUUUGCUAAGGUGUUCAAUCUACUCAAUCAUGUAC